UACGUAGGUGGCAAGCGUUGUCCGGAUUUACUGGGCGUAAAGAGCGCGCAGGCGGUCGUUCAAGUCGCGUGUGAAAGCCCCCGGCUCAACUGGGGAGGGUCACGCGAUACUGAUCGACUCGAAGGCAGGAGAGGGUAGUGGAAUUCCCGGUGUAGUGGUGAAAUGCGUAGAUAUCGGGAGGAACACCAGUGGCGAAGGCGACUACCUGGCCUGUUCUUGACGCUGAGGCGCGAAAGCUAGGG
rnacentral:rRNA from 1 species